AUUGAACGCUGGCGGCAUGCUUUACACAUGCAAGUCGAACGGUAACAGGCCGCAAGGUGCUGACGAGUGGCGAACGGGUGAGUAAUGCAUCGGAACGUGCCCAGUCGUGGGGGAUAACGCAGCGAAAGCUGCGCUAAUACCGCAUACGAUCUAUGGAUGAAAGCGGGGACCGUAAGGCCUCGCGCGAUUGGAGCGGCCGAUGUCAGAUUAGGUAGUUGGUGGGGUAAAGGCUCACCAAGCCGACGAUCUGUAGCUGGUCUGAGAGGACGACCAGCCACACUGGGACUGAGACACGGCCUAGACUCCUACGGGAGGCAGCAGUGGGGAAUUUUGGACAAUGGGCGCAAGCCUGAUCCAGCAAUGCCGCGUGCAGGAAGAAGGCCUUCGGGUUGUAAAGCUGCUUUUGUACGGAACGAAACGGCUCUGGUUAAUACCCGGGGCUAAUGACGGUACCGUAAGAAUAAGCACCGGCUAACUACGUGCCAAGCAGCCGCGGUAAUACGUAGGGUGCGAGCGUUAAUCGGAAUUACUGGGCGUAAAGCAUGCGCAGGCGGUGCUGUAAGACAGGCGUGAAAUCCCCGGGCUUAACCUGGGAAUGGCGCUUGUGACUGCAGUGCUGGAGUGCGGCAGAGGGGGAUGGAAUUCCGCGUGUAGCAGUGAAAUGCGUAGAUAUGCGGAGGAACACCGAUGGCGAAGGCAAUCCCCUGGGCCUGCACUGACGCUCAUGCACGAAAGCGU
rnacentral:rRNA from 1 species